CGUGUAGGCGGUUGGUCAAGUCUGGUGUGAAAGCCCGGGGCUUAGCCCCGGAAGUGCGCUGGAAACUAGCCAACUUGAGCGCGAUAGAGGAGGGUGGAAUUCCUGGUGUAGCGGUGAAAUGCGUAGAUAUCAGGAGGAACACCGGCGGCGAAGGCGGCCCUCUGGGUCGUUGCUGACGCUGAGACGCGAAAGCGUGGGGAGCAAACAGGAUUAGAUACCCUGGUAGUCCACGCUGUAAACUAUGGGUACUAGGUGUUCGGGGUGUUGACCCCCUGAGUGCCGACGCUAACGCAUUAAGUACCCCGCCUGGGGACUACGGCCGCAAGGCUAAA
rnacentral:rRNA from 1 species